rnacentral:snRNA from 1 species
AGCUUUGCGCAGUGGCAGUAUCGUAGCCAAUGAGGUUUAUCCGAGGCGCGAUUAUUGCUAAUUGAAAACUAAAGUGCUGGAAGGUGUGAGCCCUGGCUGGAAAUAAGGACUGUCCCUAGCCCACACAGUGGGCAAAAGGGACUGAGGGCUAUUCAGGUCAGUGG